GACGAACCGUGCGAACGUUAUUCGGAAUCACUGGGCUUAAAGGGCGCGUAGGCGGGCCGGCGAGUCCGGGGUGAAAGCCCCCAGCUUAACUGGGGAAGUGCCUUGGAUACUGCCGGCCUGGAGGGAGGUAGGGGCGUGCGGAACUUCCGGUGGAGCGGUGAAAUGCGUAGAUAUCGGAAGGAACACCGAUGGCGAAAGCAGCGCGCUGGACCUCUUCUGACGCUGAGGCGCGAAAGCCAGGGGAGCAAACGGG
rnacentral:rRNA from 1 species